rnacentral:rRNA from 1 species
UACAGAGGUGGCAAGCGUUGUUCGGAAUUACUGGGCGUAAAGAGCUCGUAGGCGGUUCCGUAAGUCGAGUGUGAAAAAUCUGGGCUCAACCCAGUGGAGCACUCGAUACUGCGGUGACUAGAGUACGGUAGAGGAGUGUGGAAUUCCUGGUGUAGCGGUGAAAUGCGCAGAUAUCAGGAGGAACACCAACGGCGAAGGCAGCACUCUGGGCCGGUACUGACGCUGAGGAGCGAAAGCGUGGGGAGCAAACAGG